GCGGCCGUGGCCGAGAGGUGAGGCCCCUGAGCGCCACUCAGGAGAACGCGGGUUCGACUCCCGCCGACCGCU
rfam:Archangium gephyra strain DSM 2261, complete genome.